CAAUAGCGUAUAUUUAAGUUGUUGCAGUUAAAAAGCUCGUAGUUGGAUUUCGGUUGAGAACGGCCGGUCCGCCGUUUGGUGUGCACUGGCUGGUUUCAACUUCCUGUAGAGGACGUGCUCUGGCUUCACGGCUGGACGCGGAGUCUACGUGGUUACUUUGAAAAAAUUAGAGUGUUCGAAGCGGGCUUACGCUUGAAUAUUUCAGCAUGGAAUAACACUAUAGGACUCCUGUCCUAUUUCGUUGGUCUCGGGACGGGAGUAAUGAUUAAGAGGAACAGUUGGGGGCAUUCGUAUUUCAUUGUCAGAGGUGAAAUUCUUGGAUUUAUGAAAGACGAACUUCUGCGAAAGCAUUUGCCAAGGAUGUUUUCAUUAA
rnacentral:rRNA from 1 species